CACCAAUUCUUCUUUAUCCAAUACAUAUCACAAACACAGAACAUAAAUCAAUUAUCCAAAACAAAUUUACAAAUCACAUAUUGACAAAAUCACAAAUCCAAGAGAGCAUAAAAACGACCAACAGGUUACAAAAGCAAACGAAUUCACCCAUUCAAAAAUCACAAAUAACAGGUUUUCAGAUUCAUAAAUUCAUGUAUUCAUCGUUCACGAAGGCUAAAAUCAUAAUUAAUGGAACGAAGUCAGUGGACGAGAAGAAAAAUUACUAAAUCAAAACUCUUAAUGUAUUGAUCUUAUCAUUGUUUAGGGCUUCAACUGCAAUUGACGAUCAACUGUGGAGGACUGGAAACAAGUAGAAACAACAAGAGAUGGGAGCAAGCUGAAUCGUUUUCUAUUUUCCCUUUCCAAUCGUUUGCAGUUUUGCAGAUUGUGAUUUUUCCUUUCCAAUCGUUGAAUCACCGAUAGGAGGGAGGCAGCUGUGGGAUUUUCAAUUGUGGGGUUACUGGGUUUUGCUUCAACGUUAGGUAAUGAGAAGUGGGAGGUUCCUCUCGAGUACUUUUCCUUCCCAAUCGUUGAAUUGGCAGCAAAAGGGAGUCAAGGUCGGGGUUUUGAAUCGUCGGGAUCGUGGGUUCUGCUUUAGCGUGGGUAAUGGGAGGUGAUAUGUUCUCUCGUGAAUGUUGAUGCCAGGGGUUGGUUGUUUCAAUUGAACUGCUGGUUUAUCCCUAAAAUCGUGGUUUGGUUUUGGGUUUAUUAAUUUUUUUUUUUUGUUUUUCCAAAAUUUUCAUGUACAAUUGUAAAGUAAUUGGCUGUCAAAUUUUUUUCCACUUUUUGUUCAACAUUUUCCCUUUUAGUACAACUUUUUUAUGUUGUCAACUAAAGGACUUGUGGGCAUUUAAAUUCUGUAGA
rnacentral:lncRNA from 1 species